UGCCCCCAUGUCUAACAACAUGGCUUUCUCA
rnacentral:piRNA from 1 species